UCUCCCCUUCCCUCCUUUUCUCUCUCUUCCUCCCUUCCUCCCUUCUUUCCCUUCCAUCCUUCCUUUCUCUCUUCUUACAGUGCAUUAGUCAGCAUGGCCUAUGUUUUAAACUCUGUUUGCUACAAAACAGUUUUUCAAUGAUUUAAAACAUCACAUCUUAUUUUUCAAGCAGGCUAUAAUAUUUCCACCUGAGGUCAAUGGUGGGCAUCUAUUCCCAUUAUAGCCAUUCAGAAACUCAGGCUGAUAAAGGAGAUGCCAUCUUGAAUGUUGACAAUCAUAAUAUCAGAAUAAAAAAUAUAAGGGAAUUAUCACUUUGGCAAGUAAGUAUUCUGGGUUAUAGGUGAUAUAUGCCAUUUCUAGUAUACUCACAGCCCAAUGGAUAGGAUGAGUCACUUGCCUCCCUUUUAAUCCUACACGGAUUAAAAAGUGCAGUUUUACCAUGCUUUCAAAAGACGGGUGGUCAUAAAUAUUUAGCAAACAGCACUAAUGUGUAUUAUAAUAAGUAAUGCCAAAGGUCUUUCAAUAGUAGUAUUCUUUUCAAAUAACCUAUUUUUGCAUGGUUAUUUUGAUUCAUUAAUUUCUAUUUUAUAUUAAUUUAUUUCUUUAUUUCUGUGGGUAUAUUUUGCUAUACAUUUUGUAAUUUUGAGAUGAAUUCUGUGUUCAUUAAUUUCCAGUCUUUCUUCUCCUGUAAUAAAAAUACUAAAGGCUAUAAAGUUCCCUUCUUCUUCUACUUUGAGUAAAUUAUAGAAGUUUUGAUAUGUAAUCUUUUCAUUAUGGUUCAGUUGUGUUCUCUAAAGUUCAUUGUGAUUUCUUUAUGACGUAAGUUAUUUAUCUAUUUGCUUUCUUUGCUUGUUUGUUUUGGUUUUCAAAUAUGUGGGCUUUUUUAUUUUUCUGUUUGUUAUUUGUACCUUUAUUGCAUCACUGUUAUAGAACAUGAUCUCCAGGAUACCAAUCCUUUGAAAUUUAUGGUGAUGUCCUUUAAAUUAAAUCCUAGACUUGAGUUUUUCAAUCUCUAAAGGUAGCAGAAAUUUUUAUCAUAAACUCACAGGAAAGCUGGACUGUGGUAUCAAAUUCCCCUCAACACACCCAAGGCAAAAGACAGAUGCACCCAGAAAGUGAAUGGACCUGCAGUCACCUGAAGGCGUUAUUGAGCUAGAUGUCCAAGACUGUUUCUUCCUUGCAUGUAUGGUUCCUCAGCUAGCACACCUGCAGCCACAGAGGACUUCUUCAUAACAUCUCACUUCAUGUGGCCUCUCCAAGUGCCUAGUUGGAGCUCUUUAACAGUAAGGAAGGAUAAGUCAAGUUCACCCAUCAAAAUAUCUAUCCUUCAGUUUCAACAUGGUGUCAACUCAAAUUACAUUGGAAAAGAAUGUACUGAAGUCACAAUAACAUUAUAAUCAAAAGAUGAAGCUUAACCUGAGGAAAUCUUAGAAGCAUAUUUCAUAAUGUAAAAAAAGACAAUAUUUUCCUUUCACUUAAGAAACCUGAAGUAUUUCACAACCCUGACUGAAUAAGGAAAACCCAGGGGACAUGUGCCUAGAAGCAACCGUAACUAUCUCAGGACUCUGAAGCAAAUUUCCCUGAGGAACUUCAGCUUCAUUUAUGCUCUGUCCCUAACAAAUGUUAAAUAAAAGCAAAGUCAUUGUCUGUUUGGAUUUUCAGCCUCUUUUCUCAGCAUUAUUGUUACUCCCAUUUCAUUUAUGUAUUUAUUUAUUUAUUUAGAGACAGAGUGCAAUUCUGAAGUGCAUUAGCGUGAUCACAGCUCACUGCAACCUCAAACUCCUGGGCCCAAUAAGUAAUCCUCCCAUCUCAGCUUUCCAUGCAUCUGGGACUAUAGGGGUGCACCACCAGGUGGGGUCUUGCUAUAUUGCCCAGGCUGCAUUUUUUUUGAUUUUUAAAUUCCUUAGAUGGAGCUGACUAAUCAGGAGGUAUGUCAGCCUGAAAAUUCAACAGAUGCUGUAGUGCUAAAGGGCAGGCAAAAGGGAUGUUUCUAUGGGAGUUUAGCUAGAAUGCUAUAUUUUUAACAAAAGUCUCAGAAUUUGAACUUAUAGACUUAUUUUAAUCAUUUAUUAUCUAAAUUACAAGACAAUAUGGAAUGUUCAGCUAAUAAUCCGGUUGCACUUGAAAAUGAAGAGUUUAUUUGGCCUUGUCAAUUAUAAAGAUAUAUAUAUAUAUAUCAUUAUAACAUAUAUAAUAUAUAUCAUUAUAAUAAAUAUUGAAUCUGUUACUGGACAAAUUCUGAUAAACUGACAGAAUAUCAUAAUGAGUCCAUGUAUUAACCCCAAUACAUUCAGAAUGAUAAUAUUGAAAAGAAAUCAUACUAAAAUGUAUUAUGCAUUAUAAAUGUUAUUUCUUUAUGUUAUUUCUU